GUGUAAUUGUGUGAUAAUUUUUGUUGUGAAGUAGCUAUGAGAAGGACUAUUAAGCUAAAAAGUAAUUUUGCAUUCAAUUUUAGUUAGUUCUAUUUACAACAAAUAGGCAAGAAGAAAGAAGGAAGGCCCUUAGACUUGGAACAGUUCAGGCCUGCUCUCCGAAGGCAGUUGGAACUCAUUGAAGAGGGCAGGAGGAAGAGGAGGGGG